rnacentral:lncRNA from 1 species
UUUUAGAUUAACUUUUUUUUUUGUAUAUAUAAAAAUAUAGAGAGGGAGAGAGUUUUCGACAUGAAUAUUAUUAAUAGUAUAUAUUAUUCACUUUUUUAUUUUUGGAUUAUUACUAAAGUGCGGCUGCUAUGCUAUCAAUAGCACCAAACACUUGGUGCUAUCAAGUUUUCUGCCGUUGGAUAUACACCCUUAAUUAUUUUUACCCAUUAGAUUAUACUAUUCAACCACCUACCCACUAAACCCUAUGGGGCCCAUAUCAUCCUAACCGUAUAUUUCUUAAUCCAAGGGCUAAAAAACUAAUAGCACCAAUAGCUUAGUGCUAUUGAUAGUAUUCCAGUCUAGUUCUUAUUACUAUUAUACCAAUCGCCCACUAAAUCUUAAGUAUCCAAUGAUCACAAAGUGAAUAGCAUAGAGCUACUGUGCUAUUAAAAAUACAACAGUCUUUGUCCUCCUAAUUUUCUAACCAUUCAUCAAUUUUGAUAAGUGGUUAAGAUAAGAGAGAGAGAAAAAAAUUUGGAUGGCUUAAUUUCUCUUCUUUUUGAAUUUCUCUUCAAUUUCUCUUCUCUCUCUUAUCCUAACUAUCCAUCAAAAUUAAUGAAUGAUUAUGAAGUUAAGAGCAUAAAAGCUGUUGUGCUUCUAAUAGUAUAGUAGCCCUACUCUCUCUCUCUCUCUCUCUCUCUCUCUCUCUCUCUCUCUCUCUCUAUAUAUAUAUAUAUAUAUAUAUAUAAUUAAGCUAGCUAUUAUACUGUCGAUAUAGCACCAAGAGCUUAGCACUAUUAGGUUUUCGACGCUUGGAUGAAAAUACGUGCAGUUAGGAUAAUAGUGGUUUCCGACUAGAAUGAAAGUGGUCCCUUAGGGUUGAGCGGGUGGUUAGUUGAAUAGUAUGAUCUAACGGGAGAAAUUGGUCAAAUAGAUAGAUUUAACUAUAAAAAAACUCGAUAGCACUAAACGCUCGAUACUAUUGAUAGUAUAGUAGCCGGACUCCAUACAAACAUCCAUACACACAUACAUAUAUCUAUAUAUAUAUAUAUAUAUAUAUAUAUAUAUAUAUAGAGAGAGAGAGAGAGAGAGAGAGAGAGAGAGAGAGAGAGAGAGAGAUGAGCAGGAAUGCUAUUAGUAGCAAAUGGGUUCCGUUGCCACCCAUUUAUUUUCGAUAAUGGAGCCUCCAAAUCAACGAUCGGCACUGUUGAACAUGAUCUACACCACUUGAAGUAUUUAUAAAUCAAAUUUCAAAUCUUUUCGACAUCAUUGACCAAAUGAUAAAUGGGUUUCAAAAUUUGAUAUGUUAAUGAUUAAUAUGAGACAUUUUCUCGUUUAACGGUGUAAAUAUAUCCAAAUCAAUUGAAUUUUGGUUAGAAAAUUCUUUAAAUUAUUUAGAACAAGAUCUAUACUCUCGAUCUUUGUUACAAUAUUCCUAUCAUCACUUUUUAGAGGAUAUUCAUUUUUAAUCGUUCAUUUUUAUGUCCACAUGAUGGACAAGAGAACAAUAUUGAAAAAGUAUGAAAUUUGGUUUCUAUAUGCUUCAAGUGGUAUAGAUCAUGUUCAAUGAUGCCAAUCGACGAUUUGGAGAUCCAUCAUCGAAAAUAAAUAAAUUGGUGGCAACGAAACCUUUUUUCUACCAAUAGUAUUCUAGCUCAACUCUCUCUCUCUCUCUCUCUCUCUCUCUCUCUCUCUCUCUCUCUCUCUAUAUAUAUAUAUAUAUAUAUAUAUAUAGAACUAGGCUGGAAUACUAUCAAUAGCACCGAGCUAUUGGUGCUAUUAGCUUGUUAGCCCUUGGAUUGAGAAAUGUGCGCUUAGGAUGAUGUGGACCCCCUAGGGUUGAGUGGGUGGUUGGUUGAAUAGUAUAAGCUAACGGGUAAAAAUAAUCAAUGGGUUAAAUCUAACAGUGGAAAACUCGAUAGCACCAAACCUUCAGUGCUAUCGAUAGUAUCAUACAUAUAUAUAUAUAUAUAUAUAGGCUGGGGCUACUAUACUCUUAUGAGUAUAGAACCUCUUGUACUCAUAAAUUUUUAACCGUUGAUUGAUGGGAUGUGUGGUUAGGAUGAUGGCGGUCCUCACUUAGAAUGAUAGUUGUCCCCUAGGGUUGAGUGGGUAGUUGGUUGAAUAGUAUGAUCUAACAGGUGAAAAUGAUCAUGGAAUAAAUCUAAGGGCCGAAAACUUAUGAGUAUAAGGGAGCCAAUACUUAUAAAAGUAUAGUAGCCGAACUCAUAUAUAUAUAUAUAAAUAAUUGGGCUCAAAUAUUAUUAAUAAUAUUUGGGCUCUUUUUUUAUGAAUUUUUUAAUCAUUAGAUAUACACUUUAAUCAAUUUUACUCUUUAAAUCAUACUAUUAAACCAACCAACCACUCAACCCUAAGGGAUCACUAUUAUCUUAAUCCUACAAUUUUUCAUCCAAGAAUUAAAAACUUGAUAGGAAAAAGGCCCAAAUACUAUUAAUAGUAUCUCAACCUAAUUCUCUCUCUCUCUCUCUCUCUCUCUCUCUCUAUAUAUAUAUAUAUAUAUAUAUAUAUAUAUAGUCCGGCUACUAUACUUUUAUGAGUACGAUCGCUUUCUUAUCAUAAGUCGUUUUCAAUAAUAGAGCUUCCGAAUUGGCGAUCUAUAGUGUUAAACAUUAUAUAGAGCAUUUAAAAUUUGUAGAAAUCAAAUUUUAUAAUUUUUUGAAAUCAUUUACCUUAUGAACCAAAGAUCUUAAAAUUGACAAUUUUUAACGGUUGAUAUGGAAUUCUUGCUAGUUUAACGGUGUAAAAAAAUCGAAAACGGUUGAAUUUUUGAUAAAAAAUUCUAUUCUCUAUCUAGAUAAAAAUCAAUAACUCUGAUCUUAAAUUGAAGGAUCUGAUCAUCGUUUUUAGGACGUUGUUUGAUUUUGACCGUUCAUUUUAUGUCCGCUUGAUGGACUUUAUUACAAUUUUAAAAAAUUGCAAAAAUUAUUUUUUAAAAGUUUUAAAUACUUUAUAUCAUAUUUAAUAGAGUUGUUCAUCAAUUCAGAAGCUCCAUCAUCGAAAAUAACUUAUGAGUACAAAAGGCCUACUCUAUAUAUAUAUAUGUAUAUAUAUAUCGAGCAAUGCUACUGUGUUAUUACGAGCAUAACUGUUCUUGUGCUUCUAAAUUCAUAAUUAUCCAUUAAUUUUGAUGGAUGCUAUGUUA